rnacentral:tRNA from 1 species
GCGCCGGUGGUGUAAUGGCGUAAAGCAUUCCCGCCCGGUUAGAGGGAGGUGCGGGUUCGAGUCCCGCCUGGCGCU